AAAACCCUGUAAAAUAACUAACUAGCACAAAUGGUUACAGGAUGCUGAUCUAUGCCCAGUGGCCAAUGUGAGGUGCAAUCACAGAUCAGGUUGGGGAUAAACAGUUUAUGUCAGUGAGGCUGCUUUGGGUGUCUGGGAAAUAGACCAAGCUGACAGAGGGCAGAGGACUCUAUGGAAGGAAGGCCCUGGGGAUCUAGAGUCAGGAAAAUCAAGAAUGAAAGCAUAAAUGACAGAAAAGAAAAAGCACCUCCCAUCCUCCUGUCAAUGGUAGAUGGCAGACUGGGUCAUGCAUUUCUCUGUUCUCCCCUCCCAUUCCCUCCCUGUCUCCCUCCCCUGUCCCCAGUAACAACCUCUCCAAACAGUAUCAGGACUUGAGUCAUCAAAACCAUCUUUGUGGAUCUUGUACUUACAGUCCUCUCUCUUUGAUUUAAAAAGAGAUAUUGCCCCCACUUCCUAUGACCUGCCGUUUCUUGGUGACAUGCUCUCCUAGCACAGCUCCCAGGAUUCUGUCCAUAGUGGUGCCAGGAAGUGGGCACACUUUGGCCUUUCUGGAUGUGACAAGACACCGUCUUUACCGGGAAAGCAAGCCAGUUGUGGGGGAAGAAGUUGACUAUUCAGGCAGGAAAAUGUUGGUAUUAUAAAAACAUGGAUUGGA
rnacentral:lncRNA from 1 species